GAUGAACGCUGGCGGCGUGCCUAAUACAUGCAAGUCGAGCGAAUGGAUUAAGAGCUUGCUCUUAUGAAGUUAGCGGCGGACGGGUGAGUAACACGUGGGUAACCUGCCCAUAAGACUGGGAUAACUCCGGGAAACCGGGGCUAAUACCGGAUAACAUUUUGAACCGCAUGGUUCGAAAUUGAAAGGCGGCUUCGGCUGUCACUUAUGGAUGGACCCGCGUCGCAUUAGCUCGUUGGUGAGGUAACGGCUCACCAAGGCAACGAUGCGUAGCCGACGUGAGAGGGUGAUCGGGCACACUGGGACUGAAACCCGGCCCAGACUCCUACGGGAGGCAGCAGUAGGGAAUCUUCCGCAAUGGACGAAAGUUUGACGUAGCAACGCCGCGUGAGUGAUGAAGGCUUUCGGGUCGUAAAACUCUGUUGUUAGGGAAGAACAAGUGCUAGUUGAAUAAGCUGGCACCUUGACGGUACCUAACCAGAAAGCCACGGCUAACUACGUGCCAGCCGCCGCCGUAA
rnacentral:rRNA from 1 species